ACACAUGCAGUCGAACGGUGAACACGGAGCUUGCUCUGUGGGAUCAGUGGCGAACGGGUGAGUAACACGUGAGCAACCUGCCCCUGACUCUGGGAUAAGCGCUGGAAACGGCGUCUAAUACUGGAUACGAACCAUGAAGGCAUCUUCAGUGGUUGGAAAGAUUUAUUGGUUGGGGAUGGGCUCGCGGCCUAUCAGCUUGUUGGUGAGGUAAUGGCUCACCAAGGCGUCGACGGGUAGCCGGCCUGAGAGGGUGACCGGCCACACUGGGACUGAGACACGGCCCAGACUCCUACGGGAGGCAGCAGUGGGGAAUAUUGCACAAUGGGCGCAAGCCUGAUGCAGCAACGCCGCGUGAGGGAUGACGGCCUUCGGGUUGUAAACCUCUUUUAGCAGGGAAGAAGCGAAAGUGACGGUACCUGCAGAAAAAGCGCCGGCUAACUACGUGCCAGCAGCCGCGGUAAUACGUAGGGCGCAAGCGUUAUCCGGAAUUAUUGGGCGUAAAGAGCUCGUAGGCGGUUUGUCGCGUCUGCUGUGAAAUCCGGAGGCUCAACCUCCGGCCUGCAGUGGGUACGGGCAGACUAGAGUGCGGUAGGGGAGAUUGGAAUUCCUGGUGUAGCGGUGGAAUGCGCAGAUAUCAGGAGGAACACCGAUGGCGAAGGCAGAUCUCUGGGCCGUAACUGACGCUGAGGAGCGAAAGGGUGGGGAGCAAACAGGCUUAGAUACCCUGGUAGUCCACCCCGUAAACGUUGGGAACUAGUUGUGGGGUCCAUUCCACGGAUUCCGUGACGCA
rnacentral:rRNA from 1 species